rnacentral:rRNA from 1 species
GCAGCCAUCUUACAAAAAGCGUUAAAGCUUCAUUGUUUUUUAUCAAAAAAUACCAUUAAUUAACUGUAACCCUUCACCUGUACUGAAUGAUCUCAUAGUUAUAUGAGAGCCUAUAUGUUAGAACUAGUAACAAGAAGAAGCCCUUCUCCAAAAUGUAAGCGUAAGCCAAAAUGAACUAUUCAUUGGCAUUUAAAGUUAUAAACCCAUUGUAGCAACUUAACAAGAAAAACCUACAACUGAUAACGUCAACCUUACACAAGCACAUUUCUGGAAAGAUAAAAAGAAUAGGAAGGAACUCGGCAAACAACUAACCCCGCCUGUUUACCAAAAACAUCGCCUCCUGAUCACCCAUAGGAGGUCCAGCCUGCCCAGUGACUAAGUUAAACGGCCGCGGUACCCUAACCGUGCAAAGGUAGCGCAAUCACUUGUUCUUUAAAUGAGGACUAGUAUGAACGGCAUCACGAGGGUUAUGCUGUCUCCCUACUCUACUCAGUGAAACUGAUCUCCCCGUGAAGAAGCGGGGAUAAAAAUAUAAGACGAGAAGACCCCAUGGAGCUUUAAACUCAGUACCAACUGCCCAAAUAAGAACCUAUUAUACUUGCAGCUAUGGUUACUAGUUUUCGGUUGGGGUGACCACGGAGUAAAAUUAAACCUCCACGAUGAAAGGAACUAAUAACCUAACCUAUGAGCUACAGCUCUAAGUAUCAACAAAUUGACUAAUUGACCCAAUUACUUGAUCAACGAACCAAGUUACCCUGGGGAUAACAGCGCAAUCCAUUUCAAGAGCUCAUAUCGACAAAUGGGUUUACGACCUCGAUGUUGGAUCAGGGUAUCCCAGUGGCGCAGCCGCUACUAACGGUUC